rnacentral:rRNA from 1 species
GACGAACGCUGGCGGCGUGCUUAACACAUGCAAGUCGAACGGAAAGGCCCUGCUUGCAGGGUGCUCGAGUGGCGAACGGGUGAGUAACACGUGGGUGAUCUGCCCCUUACUUUGGGAUAAGCCUGGGAAACUGGGUCUAAUACUGGAUAGGACCAUGCUGUAGGUGGUGUGGUGGAAAGAUUAGUUUCGGUAAGGGAUGAGCUCGCGGCCUAUCAGCUUGUUGGUGGGGUAAUGGCCUACCAAGGCGUCGACGGGUGGCCGGCCUGAGAGGGUGGGCGGCCACAUUGUGACUGCGAUACGACCCAGCCGCCUACGGGAGGCAGCAGUGGGGAAUAUUGCACAAUGGUCGCAAGCCUGAUGCAGCGACGCCGCGUGGGGGAUGACGGCCGUCGGGUUGUAAACUCCUUUCAGCCAUGACGAAGCCCUUGUGGUGACGGUAGUGGUAGAAGAAGCACCGGCUAACUACGUG